rnacentral:rRNA from 1 species
UACGAAGGGGGCUAGCGUUGCUCGGAAUUACUGGGCGUAAAGCGCACGUAGGCGGCUUCUUAAGUCGGUGGUGAAAUCCUGGAGCUCAACUCCAGAACUGCCUUCGAUACUGGGAGCUCGAGUCCGGGAGAGGUGAGUGGAACUGCGAGUGUAGAGGUGAAAUUCGUAGAUAUUCGCGAAGGAACACCCAGUGGCGAAGGCGGCUCACUGGCCCGGUACUGACGCUGAGGUGGCGAAAGCGUGGGGAG